GAUGAACGCUGGCGGCGUGCCUAAUACAUGCAAGUCGAGCGAACGGACGAGAAGCUUGCUUCUCUGAUGUUAUCGGCGGACGGGUGAGUAACACGUGGAUAACCUACCUAUAAGACUGGGAUAACUUCGGGAAACCGGAGCUAAUACCGGAUAAUAUUUUGAACCGCAUGGUUCAAAAGUGAAAGACGGUCUUGCUGUCACUUAUAGAUGGAUCCGCGCUGCAUUAGCUAGUUGGUAAGGUAACGGCUUACCAAGGCAACGAUGCAUAGCCGACCUGAGAGGGUGAUCGGCCACACUGGAACUGAGACACGGUCCAGACUCCUACGGGAGGCAGCAGUAGGGAAUCUUCCGCAAUGGGCGAAAGCCUGACGGAGCAACGCCGCGUGAGUGAUGAAGGUCUUCGGAUCGUAAAACUCUGUUAUUAGGGAAGAACAUAUGUGUAAGUAACUGUGCACAUCUUGACGGUACCUAAUCAGAAAGCCACGGCUAACUACG
rnacentral:rRNA from 1 species